CUCUUUUACAAUCUCUUCCAUGUUGGUAAGCACCAGGUCCAGCAACGCUUCACCUCUUGUUGGUCUGUCCAUUACCUAAACCAGAAAGAUAUUGUCAGUGGACUCCAAGAGUCUCCUGGGUCACUUGCAGAUCACAAUGUUGUUUUCUAGUAGAUAUUUGAGUGGUUGAAAUCUCCCAUCCAGAUGAGAACCCGUGAGCACAAUGCCUCUUGCAGCUGAAGCAAGAAGGCCUUGUCAACAGCUCCCCUUGAUCAGGCAGCUCAGAGUAGACCCUGACCACCAGAUGCCCUUUACUGGCCCUGUCCCUAAUCUUAACCCACAAGAUCUUAACCUGUUCCUGACUGUUUCUCAGGGGCAGCUCUCAGCAGAUUAUCCACUUCUUAACAAGAGGGCAACUCCCCCACCUCUCCUAUUUGCCUAUCCCUUCUAAAAAGUUUACAGCCCUCAAUCAUGGUAUUCCUCUUGUGAGUCAUCCCACCGUGUUUCCAUGAUAGCAAUAAGAUUGUAGUUUUCCAAUUGCACCACAGUUUCCAAUUCCUCCUGCUUACUUCCCAUGAUGUGUGCAUUGGUACAGAGGCAUUUCAGCUGAAAGUGCCAAAGGUCACAUCUCUGUUUGCCUUGGACCCUUUAUAGAUACAGAUAUAAAACCAGAUAAAUAUGACUGUUUGGAGCUAAAUGCGUGUGCUGCAAGAGUGUGUUAUUAAUGAGAAAAAAGCCUGAAGGCACAGUGACUCCUAGCUCAUGGCCAGCAGACCAUUGCUCUUGUUCUGGGGAAGCAAAUGGGAAAAGCAGAGCCAGCCAAGGAGCAGACAGCCUACACAGGGAUGGAUUUGCUCCUGGCCCUUUCUCAGGCAAGGCGAGAGCUUUUCCUGAGUGCAACCCACAAGACUGGAUCCACAGCUCCUCUGCCUGCAGCACUUCAAGACUUCCAGGUUGGAGACAAUGCGUCUGGAAAUUUGGGGUGAGCUGCACCUCCUGUGUGUUUUACUUGGACAGUAGGGUGUAAGUACCACGCUGCUGUGCUCUUAUUUAGCUCUGUUAUUACAGCGCUGUUUGUGAAGCAGGAAGAGUAAUCCUCAUGUAAAAAUAAUAGUAUUGCAGAGCUAGACAGCAGAUGGUGUUAUUAAAUACCUGGGCAAAGUCUAAGGUCGUAACGCUCUAACAAUUAAAAAGAUCUAUUGUGUAUCACUUAAUAGGUAACCUCCUAGUGUAGGAUGUUUGCAAGGCUGAGCAGAGAGGCGAGUGGUAUCUUGUCCGAGCCCAGACAGCUCUUCCAGUUAAGCAAAUACUUGGCAACAAUUUUCUUGUCUAAAUUUGGUGCUACCACCACAUCAGAUAGAUACAAUAUGAUCCCAUAUCAUCUCCUAAAUGAUCCCUUCUCUAAUCAGCUCCAUUAGGUUUUAAAUAGACUGCAGCUGCCUGAGAACUGGUGAUAGUUGCCCGACAUCCAGGUUCACUUAUAAGAGCAUGGAGAGGCAACUCACUGGGUGAUGUGAAUGGACAUAAGCCUGCUGCCAGGCACGUCUCCCGCUGGCUGCAGGGAGAUACUGGUGUGUGAGGUGUGCCCGCCAGCGGCCGUGGCUUCCCAUGAGCACCUGCAGCUAUGGGCCUCUCUCCCAGGUGAAACCUCCUUGUCUCAGUUGGUGAAGUUGAAGCUGAACCUCAGUAAUAUGUGGCAAGGCUCUUCCUGCUGCAUAACAUUUUAAGCCAGAACUCCAAGGAUUAAUUUUAUAUUCUAGAGACUGCACUUUCUGCAUUUUUCCCUUGGUGUUUGCUUGGCGUCUUGUGAGCUGUACCUCUCAGUUGAACCUCUCAGCUGAAUACUGGCAUCCAGGAAUGCAACUCACCUUCUCUUCUGCUAUUAGCUCAUUUUACAUGCAUAAGCAAGACUUUCUGCAUCGUAUUCAGAGAUGUGAACCCGAAAUCAUCUCUUCUGGGACUACAAGGAGACUAAGGAGGCUAACAGUCACUCUUUGGGAGCAAUGCAAAUACCAAGAGGAAUGGUUCCCACCAGCGCUGGAGCGCUGACACACUCACUUGACAAGCACCUGCCCUGGCCUCAGGCACUUCAGACUGGCCUUUGAUCACCAGAGAUCAAGAGUAUUUCCACCCAUACAAGGUAAGUCUGUUGGUUGCACGGACAGCUCAGAGGAAAUGGAGCUCCUGUGAAGACCUGAUUUUGGGCGCAUCAGUUCUUGUACAAGGAUUUCAAGUGUUAGAGGAGUGUCUGGAUUUUAAAUGUCUCGUGUGCAGCACACUGCUCCAAAAAACUCUCUACGUUAGGCUAGUCCUCAGGCUUGAAUAUUCAUGAAGGUAUUUUCCUACAUGAGCAACAUGUCCUAUCUCAUGUCUUAUGCCUGCCUCGAAUUUAAAGUGUGUGAGUGCAGCUAAGCCUCAUGUCAGGUCACCUGCAACUACAGAUAACCGCAGAUAAGUGCUAUGGGUAAUGCUGCUCUGCUGGGAUGAGCUCAGCUCAGAAGUGGUUUCCAGCACUUCUUUCCCUUAAGCAAUGAGCUGAUCUGGGCUGAACGCUAUUGCCAUCCUAAGAUACAGGGAUGAAGGCUGGCCUGCCAGAUGUGCUGGUACCUUUGCAAUGCCCCUAGAGGUAUGGUUGUCCUGGAGCUGCCAUGGCAGUGGGGCUGAGCUUGUGUUGGACACUGCCGAAACUGUGACUGCUGUAACCAGUCUAUGUCUCUGAGGAUGUGAGGGACAGUGAGCAUUAGCCUGUGUCUGUGAGUAGAUCUGCCUCUUAUUCCUGAAACACUGGUGCAGUGCUCUCCCUCUCAAAGCCCCUCUUACAAACCUCUCCAUCACAUUUCUACUCUUUGCAGGCAUUGUCAUCAUUAGCAAGCCUUUGCUGUCCGGGGCUGUGUCUGCACUGAGGACUGUCUUUCAGGGAUGUAUAAGGAAACCUGAGGCUUUCUGAAAGCAUUCUUGCCCUUUCCCAUCCCUGUGAAGUCGGUUAUCAGUUCAGCAAAUUCUUACAUACAGAAAAUGCAUUUGCCUACAGCAGAGGAGGUAAGAAAACACUAAUGGUGAGCAAACUGACCUGAGGGGGAACAUUUCCAGUUCUUCUGUGGUGUUUUCCCUGCUCAUUAAAGCCCCUCCUCGGGCCUAGGGCUGUGUUUGAUGGCAGAUGAUAACAACUCCAGAAGUGUGUCCCAUUGCCCAAAGGCUGCUGCUGUGGGCUCCUCUCUGCACAGCACAGGCAAUAUCCCAGCUUCCAAUAAGGAAGAGGCUACCCUUGUGUUUCAACAUGAUCCAUCUCUGGUGGAGAAACCAGGCUUCCUUCUGCUGAGCUCCCCCUCUGUGGCCUUUUCCGUAGUUUUGCACGAGCUCAAAGGCAUUGCAACAAAAGCAGUGGGGAGAAGUCGCAGUGUGGAUUUGUCAUAUACCAAAACCCACAUUUCUUCUGUAUCUCUCCAGCUUCUCAGGAAACUGGCUGGAAAGAGACCAAGUUGAACAUAAUCUUAUCUUUCAGCCUAGUUAUUUUAAGCCCAAACGGGUUCCUUGAUCCCUUCCAACUGAAAACACCCCUUGGGAUAGUAGCAGCACAUUGAGCAGCCGGCGUGGGCACAGGAGAUCAGUGCUUUUCUGGCUAGAGCCACCUUUGGUGAUGCCAUCUCCCCACACAGAGGACAGAGCGGUUGCUGCUGUGGCGCUGCCUGCAUCGGUUGGACUUUGGUUGCCAGGGCAUCGUAAAAUGACUCAACGGGGAUCAGAAAGUGGUAGGAUCAAACAAAAGUCACUCUGAAGCUGCUGUCGGUUGGCAAAAGAAUAAUUUAAAAUUAAACCAGUUCUGAAACUAUCUACCGCAAGCGGUUACAAGCCUCAGUGUUGUAAAACUGGGCUGUUUCCUCUUUUCCUCGCAACGAUGAUGCCCUUGAUUCCUCCUUAGGCUUCUUUGGCAAUUCUUGCAUGGUAAUAAAAAGGCAUGACACAGCAUAUGUUUUGUGGCUCACCUUGCCAAACAAAAUUACAACGUUAGUGUAGCUUCUUCGCCUUUGCAUAAUUAACUCUACAAAGGAGAGAGGGUAAGCAUCUGUGCCAAGACAGAAGCAAAAACAAGAAGUACGGAAGUCUGUUUUAAAGUCAUCUCUGUUCAAAGCAAUUCUUUUAAAAAUGACUUAUCUUGAAACUGUUGCAGACAAUUAGGGAAAGUCAUACAGUUUCUAAAUGUCUGUUAUGUUUUACGUCUGCAGCUACAUUGCUAAGAUGCAAAAAAAAAAGAAGUCGAUGCCUCUUUGAGAGCUCAUGAAAGCUGUGCUGGAGUGCAUCUUCUGCGCAACACGUGCUGGGGCCAGGAGGAUGCAGGCUGCCCAGGAGUGCUCAGUGCCCACUCUUCAGGCUCAGCUGGCAUCAUUCUCAUGUUUAAUAGCUUUCAGGACAGUCUCUGUGUUGCGCUGAACCACACAGUUGCCACAAGGGGAAUUUAGUGCAGGUGGAGGGGUAAGUGGGGUGAGAGGUGGGCCUGGUCCUGCUGCCUAUCCCACUGCCUUACUGUCAUCCUUGUUACCUAAACUAGUGUUAAUAGCUGAAUUAGGAUUCAAGCAGCCUGAGUAGUUCUAAUAUAGAGCAUUAAAGAGCAAAUCCUUUUUCCACUGAUGCCAAAGACAAGACUCCCAGGAAAAGGUCUGGCCCCUAGUUUCUGGCAAGUCCCCAGGCAGUCCAACUAAGUCAAGAAAAAAAGAAUAAGGGGAAAAAAAGAGAAGAGAAGAAGAGAAGAGAAGAGAAGAGAAGAGAAGAGAAGAGAAGAGAAGAGAAGAGAAGAGAAGAGAAGAGAAGAGAAGAGAAGAGAAGAGAAAAAGGAAGAAAAGGGAGGCGAAAUUAAAAGAAAAAGGGGAAAAUAGAAAAGAAAGAGAUGAGGAACACUUUACAACUAACUAUGGCAGCUGGCAGCAGGUCAUCCAGAUGGAGCAGGGAUCCUGCAUGCCUGCUCAGUCUCCCUUGCUUUAGGCAGCCUCCAGACGUGAAACCUUGUCACGCUCUGCUAUCAUAUCCAGUGCAACGCCCCACUGUGCACAGUGUUGUUCAGUCACAAAGAUGGUGUCUGUCUGCCCAAAGUUCUCACAGAGACCUUUGCACAAUGUCACUGCAGUCAAAACUUGUUUAUUAAAUGCUCACUUAGCAGAAAUGAGGUCAAAUCAUUUAAUGGCUAUUAAGAUGUUAAUGCAUUAAACACUAAAAUAUCACCUGUUUAUCUUAACCCUCAUUUACCUAAAUCACCUUAGCAUUCAUUGUGAUGACUGAGAUUUGACAGUGUUUGCUAAUUAUGUAAGAGUUGAGCUAGCACCAGUUGGUCUUACUGCUGCACCCAAGCACCUUGGUAACAAACAUUAUCAUCCACAGCAAACUGGAGCUAUUCCUAAAUAAUGAUGAUGAGAAAUUCCCAAAUACAGUAGAAAAAAGUCAAUGCCCGAAGAACAGCAAGAGGAGGGCUCUGCCUGGAAGGAAUCAUGACUGAAGCUGUGAAGUGUCAUCCAAAAUCACUGAUCCCUAUUGCUAAGCCAACCUAUGUUGAUAGCACCAUUCUGUGGCUGACCCAUCUGGCACAAAAGAGUCGCACAAAACCCUCCCAUUCAAUGUGGAGGCUUAAUGUCCAAGGUACACUUCAAAACACCUUCAUUCCCGUGCCACCGCCCCGUGGUCCCCACACCCUUGGAGUCUGAGGGAACAUCUCCAUGGCCCAAGCCCUGGUGCAGCAAGCUGGGGUGCCUCCAGGCAUCAGCAUCCCUCUCAGAGUUGGCACCGUUCAUGUCAUGGUGGUGCGUGCUCAGCAGCUGUAGCACUGAGUUCUGCUGCAGGGCUGAGCCCAGCUCUUUCUGCCCAUGGAGAUGAAUGCACGGUUGGCUCCCGAGCUGCAACUAAUAGAUUAAAGCUCCCAAUAAAUCAAGAGUUUUGCAAAAGCGUGAAUGACUGAUUUCACAAGGUGAUUAGAAUUAUCAAGGGAAAACAUUUGAAGUGCUCAAUAAUUUACACUAACCACCUGUACUUUUAAAAUAACUUUCCCCAUUCCCCUCCCUUAACUUUAAGGGAUUCUUGCCAUGUUCUUCAAGCCAUUUCCUUCCUUCCCUUCAGCUCUGAUUGCUGCGGAACACUCUUAAUAAAGAACGUACCGUAUCACUGGAGAUUGUUCUGGGGAUGAAAAAUGCAAUGUGAUUUAUUAUAACAUGGCCUAUGCAGGCAGCUGAUCUUAGCCUGCACUCUGCAUCCUUCCAAAAUCAAAACAAUUUGCAAUGUAAUAUUGUGAAAUUGGGUUUGUAUUCCAGUUUGCAUUUUAUGAUUCUUAUCCUUAAGAAAGCAUUUCCAAAUGCAUUUUCAGUUAGUUAGGUUUUUCCAUGCCUGCUUUUCGCUUUCAACAGUGCUAGCAAAGUCAUGCAUGGUUUGAAAGGUUUUACGCGUAAAUUUGGAACUCGUAUCACACCCUACUGAGCAGUGGGGACUGUUCAUUUAUUUGUUUAUUAAGUAGGAGUUAUUUUCUCUCCAGCAUGCUAUAAAGCCAGCUCUUUGACCUCAUUCCUCAACACGGACAAGAACUGAAUUCCUGGAAUAAAGAAAAAAAAUGGAGAAAAUGCACUCCCAUUUUGACAAAAAUAACUGAAGAGAUCCUUCCAACUCAAAAAAGCCUUCAGGAAAAAAUGUGGGACAUAUCCUUCACAGGUUGUCAACCUUCCAUUGGAAGCAGAAGAUCCAUGACAAUUCAUGCCACAGAGGUUUGCUGCCAGGUGGCGGAGGACAAAGUUCACUCUGGAGUGGUUUGCUAGCAGGGCAGUUGCGCAGUGGGUGGAAGUGCCCAGAUGGGAGGCAGGGAGAAGAUGGAAGGCAGAGAACUGAGGUGUGCAGAGGUGACUGGGAGGACACAUCACAGCCCCAUCUCUGAGAAGGGCCAGGAUGAUAGCUUAGGAAAACGCAGACACGAAGGGCAGUUGGGCAGUGGUACAGUCCCAGCUAAAUCCCUAGUUGUAAAGAGCCCGAAGGACUUUUUAUGCAGGAAUUUGCCUAACCACAUUUUAAGUCUGGUUAUACAUUGACAAGAAAAAAUGACCCACGGUGAGGCGUUCACACAGCCUGCUCUUUCACUUUGAUAGCCCCAGGCUUCUGCACCAUGAGAAGCAGUGGGUUAACAUGCCACCUGCACCCUGACUGUGCCACCUGGGACAGAUCUCAGGGCUGCCUGAGUUUAUUUUUAUUUUCCAAUAUUUCAACUAAAGAAAAUACCCACUAGCUGAUCUAUGAUAGAAAAGUAAAAUAAGUAUCGUACGUGUGCUCAACACAAAUAACUUACUUGAGAAACCCCUCAUACACCUCUGCUUUAUUGUUUUAUUUUCCAGUGGUGGUUUAUGGUGUUGUGAUGAAGCCAGAGGUUUGACACAAAGAGGUAGUCUUUACCCAGAUACUAAUAUUCAGUAGGUCAUCUUGUGAAAACAUACUGGAAUAGAAAUGAAGAGGGAAGGGGCUAGGAAGGGAAAAAGGAAGGAAAAGCUGGACAGUUCAGGGAGCAAAGAAAAUAGCCACAGUGCCACUAGACAGAGAAAUAGAAUGCAAAUAGUGGGGUGAAGACCCACUUUGUAGAGGGACUCCCAUUCAUGAUUAUAUGGUAGAUAAAAGUUCAGUGAAACAGAAGCACACCAGCUGCAUUCACCUGGAGACUGUUGGCACCAUGUUGUUGACUGCAGCUUCUCUUGCAGAUGCAAACAUGAUCUCUGCUGUUGUGACACAAGCUGGGGUGAGCUGUCCUUCCAGCUCCUUCUGCAAAAGUGCCAAGAGCAUGACAAGUGGGGUCCAACAUACUGGUUUUGGCCAGCUCUCCCCAAAGCCAACAGGAGCCUUGAGUCAGGCCACAGGUAGGCGCAGGGCUUUGAGCAAGCUUAAAAAAAUAAAUAAUUACCCAUCCCUGUCCUCAUGGGGAUGCCUCUCAGAUCUUCCUGCAGCUUUCUUCACAGCUUGUUUGGAGCAUUAUGUAGUCUGACCCAAAUUCCAAGAGCACCAUCAGGACAGUUCUCCAGCUGAUGCCGUGGAUGCUCAGUUAGACUACGACACUACCACAGCAGCUUGUAAAUUUGUUUUUCUUCUUUUCGUAGAGCUUCCAAUGACUCAAAGAGCAAUCAUUGGAUGAUAUAUCAAACUCCAACUGCUAGAUAAAGAAGAGAAAUCGGAGUGUCUGCAAGGAUACCAGCUAUUGUUGUAUCAUCAUAGCUCUUCUGUAACAUUUUCUUCUCAUGAGGUGAUAUGAAGUGCAUGGAGAGGAGUAAGUUAUAAAGUUGUACUAAUGUGAUUGUUUGGGAUGUUAAAACAAAGUCAACAAUUCCUUUACAAACCAUCCCAGCUUCUGGGCAGAUAUCCCUGGAAGCUUCAGGAGUCCUCUUUGAUCCUGGCUGCCCCAUAAAGAAACAUCGUUUAUACUGAAUUAAUUAGCUGCCACUUAACCCUGGCGCCAAGAGUUGAUGUCAUGAGGCAAAACAAAAUGGAGCUAAUGAAAUCAAUAACAUCAUUAAAAUAACUCACAGCAGAGUUACUGACUGCCGUGCCGACUGUGCUUAUGGACCAAUUGCUCAGCACGUAAAGGGACUUCUGCAAGAACAUGUUCAAGCUAUGAAUGGCAGCCAGCAGCCAACUUGACAUCACUCUGCUCAGGUGAGCUUUUCCAGGACUGCACAGGGAGGUUGCAUGGGCACAGCCUUGGCCUGGAAGUGUCAGAUUGGUUUGGACAGAUGGCAGUAAGGAGUAGAGGGCAAGGUGCUCCCAAAGCAAAUUUCUGAGUGGGAGUUUUAAGCAGGAAGGUACAUUUAGGUAGAGCUUUUCUACUAUUAAUGAAGCUAGAGUAAGACAUUACUAGGAACAAUGCACACCAUGCACAGGAACAAGCUGACCUGGAAAGAUUAAUCUGUCCCUGAAGGCCUGAAGCAUCUUGGUUGGCUGCUGAGAAGCUGAAGCCCUGAUCAACAGUGCUUAAAGAGCAUGGACCACAGUGAGCUCUGGCUCAGUGAGAACUUCUUGAUGCUGUGCUUGCAGGCCUGAGCCCCCAUCAUUGGAAACACACUGUAAUGUCAAUGCUUAAUUGAAUGAAAGAUCUAACUGCAUGCUUCUUACACAGAAUUUCCAAAUGUUUGCAAAGUCUAAGCCCCCUCACUGUGCAAAGAUAUAAUAGAUACUGUCAAAAAGUCUUAAGACAGACAAACAGCAAUGGUAAGUCUUUCACUGUUCAAGUUUUACACAAUGUUUUCACCACUGUUAUCCGGCUCUCCUGUAUUUAAUGACAAGUUCAUAGGCGGGGGCAGGUAAUUGUGAACAUUAAUAUUAAUUUUUCCUGACACAACUAAGUGCUAAAUAUGCAGAAGCAUAUCUAUUUAGCUCUGUGCUGGUGCUCUUUCUGUGCUCUUCCCUGAACUGACUGCUGCUAUCAUCUCUUUAAGUUAGCUCCUUCCUGACUAGAUGCUCUGCAGUAUUUGAUUCUGACUUAUACAGGAAACUUGGGUCUGCAGGCAAAGGUGAAAGGCAGCUGGGGUGAGAGUGACCUUCAAGUGGCAAAUCUGAGGCAGAAAGGACAUUUGAAGAGUUAACAGUGCUGUAAGGAAGUUGUGUGGAAGGCACAAUCACAGAAGAAAUAGUAAAGAACUGCUUGUGAACUGCUUGGUAGCAGGGCAACUUAGCACAAGCCCUACAGGAGGCCCACAAGGUACAAAGUGAUUAAAUCAUGAGCUCUUCAUUAGUUUCAGAUGUGCAGUGGAAGCAGACAGAAAGUCAAACUAGGUCAUGUUACUAAGAGGAGGAAUGAAAUGAAAAAGAUAUAGGUGAUGCAACGAGCAGUGGGCGUGAAGUUUAUGCACUUGAAGUAAAAGGAGGGCCAGAGAAAGACCUGAGUUUCACAAGGAGGAGUUACUCAGUGACGAUACCAAAGACCUAAAUGGUUGUUACUUUCUUCCUUUGGUCUACUCAAAGGUGCCCAAGGAGUCAGAGAGCAAGCAGCUUAAUUUCAAUUCCUGGAAAAUGCUGGAAGUGGAAAUUGGUUAAGCUCUUUUCCAGCACCUAGAUGACAGCAAGCAGAUGAGGAACAGCAAGCACUGAUUUGACAAAAACAAAUCACAUCCAAUCAAUCUAAUUUCCUUCUGUAGUAGGCCUUAGAUCUUGAUUUUAGUAAAGCUUUUGCCAUUGUCUCACCUGACACUUUCAUAAACUAAGUAAAGAAACAUGGUUUAGAAGAAACUGCUAUUAGAGGAGUGUACAGCUGGUUGGAAAACCAGACUAAAAGCAGUUAUAAAUGCUUCACUGUCAAACUGGCGGUACGUAUCAAAUGAAGUCUGAAGCCAUCUGUUUUGUGUCUGGCAGUGUACGGUAUUUUCAUUAAUAUCUUUGAAGAAAUGAGAGUAGGGAACACUUAUUAAAUUAGCACAGGACACCAUGGAGAACAAGCGCUUUGGAGAAACAGGAUGAGAAUGCAAAACAAUCUUGACAAAUUGGAGGAAUGCUGGGGAAAACAAACGCCAUUGAGCAGGGACAAAGCAGAGCUCUGCAGUUGCGUAGGCGUCAUCAAGUACUAAAAGACGGCUGGGAAACAACCGGCACAGCAGCAGUUCUGCAGAAGAUCUAGGGAUGACAGCUCAACAUGAAUGAGCACGGUCAUGCUGCAGUAAAAAAUGAAAGUGCUGUAAUGAGGUGUACAAACAGAAGUUCAAUCUGCAAGAAACAGGAAAUAAUUCUUUCCCGCUUGUCUAUGCUGUGAAGACUUCAUUUGAACUGUGCAGGUUCGGCCACUGCAGUUCAGGACAGUUUCAGGACUGGAUAAGCUUGAGGAUUCAACUCAGCCUGCAGCCGAACACCUCAAACAUGGGAGGCCAUUCCACACUGAGGACAACUGAACCAAACAGAGUAAUCGUAUCUUUAGUUAAUGAAACAGCUUCGGUUAGAAAAAGAGGGUGAUAGGAAGGCAUAAAACCAGCAUGAAUUGAUUCAGCUUAAUAAAAUGAGCUGGUUUUAUUAUUUGCUUGCAGCCUACUUCGUAUUAUUCCCCUGGCAGAAGUGACAUCUCAUCACAAGCUUUUGGGAAUCUGUUGUUAAGGGUUUCCUCUUGCAGCUUACAGAGCAAUACCAUAGCUAUGCAAAAUUUCUACAAACUCACACUUUCUCCUCUCUUACCUUGAUGGUAACCUCCUCUCUAAUCUCCUGGUCUGUCAAAUGCUUCCUGUUGGCUGCUGUAGACAUCCUUGCUUGUGCCUCGAUGCAUCUUUUAGCUGUGACAGCCACAACACAACUCCCUGCCUUCCCUCAGGUGCCUAGAAAUGCAGCUCUGUCAUCUUCCUGUUCACGUUUAGCCUGCCCCCUGAAGUCCUCCAGGCUUUUAUUAUCAUGCAGGUUUGUGUUCCUCUCUACUCAUUAACCUCUUUUCCUCUAGCCUUGUCUCUUCUCUUUGCCACAUUAGACUUCUGCACUUCAUCACAUCAAGUCUGCAGCAGAUGUUUCCCUGGCUGCCCACAGACCUCGCACUCAGUGCAAGAAAGGGAAACUCCAUCUCAGUUGAAGUGAAACACAAAGAGGGAACUCUGGUAGUCCUCAGCAAUCCCAUCUGAAUCCUAUCUCAAGUCCAGAGGUAUUUCCUUUCUCUUUUCAUGAGAUUCAUUCACUUCUCCUUUCUCAUGACCCAGUCUCCUACUUGUACAGCAGAACUGAUGGCUCAGAUGGUGCCUUCUGACCUUAAAUGCCUGAAGGUUAACUAAGAAUGGGGGCUCGUGGCACAAGUAAGAGCACAGCAUGUUUUUAAAGAAACGCCUUGGAUAUGUUCAUACACUGCCAUAAAACGUAGCAGCUUGGCUUUGUUCAUUUGUUUUACCACUUGUUGUCUUCUUGCUAACUCUGUACUUCUCUGAAGUGAAGUUCAUCAGUGCACUGACACAGCGACGUAGUUAUGUAUGCCAGGCACAUAAAACACUGCCUAGCCGUAUUUUUGUUAGAAGAGAUGUCACACGUGUACCACAUGUUAGUGUGGCUGACUGUGUCUCCCUGGAGCUGGGUUUCCUCACAUCAGCAGGGAACUGGGCUGGUAGUGGGCCUGGACCAGUAGAUAUGCAGGGACAUGGACGAGGAGCAUUUUGUAAGGUUGAUCUCCCAGGGGGGAUUAUAAUCCAAUUCAUUAUACAGCAACUGGGAGUCCCCUGUGCAUCUCUAUGUCUGUAGAGGUGGAUGUAGAUGCAAGUUGCAGCUUGGAGCAGAAGCACGUGAAGGUGAGGGUAGAUCUCAUCAGUGUGUGGGGAUGAUACUUGUCUCUAACUGCACACAAAGGACAUUUCAUCUUUCCUCCCAGCUCAUCCACUUCCCCUCCCAUAAAGGACAUAAAAAGAAACCAAACAAGAAGAGCAGCCAGUAGAAACUAUCACAUGUUUGGGGAAAGCUCGCAGGACAAAUAUUUCAAACCAGAACUGCCUGAGAUGACCUUAUAAGCAAAAUAGACAACACCUACGUAUUGCGAUGGAAAUGACAAAGCAGGGAAAUUGUUGCAAACGCAGCACAAAUGGACACUAGCUGCAGAUUACACAGAUUAGGAGAGCAUUACAAAUUGUACAAAGGAAACGCUCAAUUUUUCUUUUCAGUAUUAAUAAAAGACACCUGAAAUCAGCAGUACCAAUGAUUCCCUUUGUGAAUCUCAGGCAAUAUGUUGGACAGCCACAUGUUUCUCGCUGGCAUCAAGCAGCCUUGCUUUUACUGCAAGAGAAGUAAGAAAUUCCACCAACGUCAGGGGCACCACGCAGCCGUCUCUCUGUACUCAUUCCUGAAAUGAUCUGAAAUCUAACAGAAGGCAUUUUAUUGACAGCUAUCGUGCCUAUUAGCUUUCAUAUGUUUUCAGGACUUCUCAGAAGGAGCUGGUUCAGGACCUCUUCCAGAGGGACCUGUUCAUCAGCCCACCCCAAGUGACCAUUGGAGGCUGUGCAGUGAUGCUCACUUCCAGGGCUGUAGUCCCCUGGGCAUGAGGCUACUUAUGGCCUAGAGCUUGGGCAGGAAAGCCAGGACAGGCAACCAGGAGGCAGCUCAUAGGCUGGCAGCCUCCACAGCUGCUUGUGCUGCUUGGGGCCUCGUGACUGUCUGUGUGCCAUCCUCAAGCGAGAGUCUGGAGAGUGGGGCGAUGCACCCUGUGGUAAUUUCUGCAGUGUUGCAGGCCAGGAAGCACCAGCAGAAGAGAUGUUAUGACAGUGCAAACAGUUACCUCCGCUGCAGGCAUGAUAGGAAGUGACAAUGCAAACAGAAAUGUAACCUGUCAAGGCCACAGCUACAUGCUUGGGUAGACGAGCUUGUCGUUUAACCAAGAGCAGUGCCACAGCUCCCUGCUUCCCAGUGCUUGAAGGCAUCUGCACACAAGAAAGCCACCCCAAAGCUCCGACCUUUCCAUAUGAGUAAGGCUAAAGGACAAUGCUUCUGCUUCCUGGCAUCAGUCUGUGUGUGUGCGUGUCAGCACUAAUUACAGCCAGCAGGAUGGUGAUUUUCAGAUGUAAAAGCUUUCAAUGCCAGCACGGGCCUUGCAGUGCUGCAGUGGAAAAUAUUAAGAGAGGAUUACCAGAAGGCCCAGAAGAAAUAAAUCACAGCGAAAGGAAAUUAUACUGAGGAGCACAAUGUUUGACUUACAACUGUUGUGGUCUGAAACAUAAAUCCACACGGUACCGAGUGUCUGGAAAACUGAACACCAACUGUAAUGAAAGUAAUCAUUUUGCUAAAGUAUUCUUUACAAAGGGCAACACUUAAAGACAUGUGUUGAUUAAGGUAAAAAUCUAUGGAUGCUGGCCCAGCUCUGGAAGGGCUUCUAAGAUGAGUGCUAGCUCUGUGCACACGAAUGUGGUGUUUGAGGUGGCAAGCCCUGCCAGGGUGAAAUCCCAUGUACCUCUGCCUUUGGAGAGAAGAGGAAAAUGUGCCUUGCUUCUGCUGUGAGACUGACGGAUAAGGAAGUGCUAAGCUUCAUCCUCCCUUCUGCAUGCUGCUGGGGCAUGCAGAUGACAGCAGAGCCAGCCAGAAGGUGCAAAUAUCUGAAGCAGAAGGCGGUGGAUUAGAGAUGGUUUUGGAGGCCACUGGGGAGACAAGAAGUGGAAAAUGAAGAAAACAGAAACCAAGUCUGAAGAAAUAACAAAUUCCAGAAAAUGAGAGAAAAAAUCAGGGGAUGAAAAGAAGAUGGAGGAAGGAAGGAAAGAGAUAUCUAGAAAAAGAAGCAUGGAAAGGGUCAAGUCGGAAGCAGCUGAAAGCAGAAACUUCAAAGAAAAAGGCAAUUUAUAUUCAGACUCUUUGGAAACCCUUGUUAUCUAUGACCAACAGGGUCCUGGUACUUACUAGGUAUAGACAUAAAAGGGUUGUAGAAGAGUAAGACAAUGGUUUAAACAUGUACAAGCCAGAGGAAAGGAAAACUCAGCUCCUGAAAGGAAGGGAAAAGAAAGCAAGGGAGGGUCAUUUUAAAAUUGGCUGAAUUAUCUUUUAAUGUUUGGUAAAGCUACACUCUACAGAUGCUAGAAAUUUAAGAGGCACAAAAACUGGAAUAGUAUAAAAUCCUGUGGACAUGGAGAGCAUUUUGAAGGCAGGAGAUAUAGCUUGUGAGACAGGCACCCCAUGUCCCAGGUGGUGACUGCAACCACCUCUUCUGAAGCCAGGCCUGCUCAAGUAUGGCCAGCAGAGCACCCAUGAGGAGCAUGCAUCUGGCAGGCGGCCAUAAAAAACAGAGGACAUCCUACCAGGGCUGACCAGUACUCAUACAGAAUCAAAGCUGGGAUCUAGCCCCUGCCAAUGCCAAGCCUGAACAGGCCAGCUGUGGCCUGGCAAUAGCAGGGCUGCUCCAACCAUGGCAGUCUGUGAACAGAAGUCUGCCACAGACAUGAGAACCAAGCACCUUGUCCCAUCAUUACAAGGGCAGCAUCCCCAGGUGGCCAGGGAUGGUGGAGGAGGACCUUUGAGCUGGGGUGACACUGAGCUCUUUUGUACUGCAUUCACCCCAUCAGCACUGUGAGAGCAGCUGGUGUGGUUGGGUCCACUUGAAGGCAACCUCCAAAUCAAAUGGAGGCAUAAAGACAACACUGAUGACCAUGAAGUCAAACACCAGACCAAAAUACUCGAGUGGUUCAAAUGCACUGAAGCCAUACAAUGGCUGAGCGAUUGAAAUAGAAAAGGAGUAUGUAUGAGUGUGACCAAAGAAGGUAAAAAAAUUAUUUUGAGUGCUGUUUGUUGCAGACAGAGGAAACUCUCUCUGUUAGGCAACUGAGCUAGUUAACAACACAUACAACAUUACAUGUACCCUAGGAAGGAGUGUGGUCUGGGCAUUGCCACUGUUUAAGAAAGAGCCCUCUCAUGUAUUUCCCAGGAGCCUGAACGGUUACUUCAUGUGUGAGAACGUCAGGCUGUGACCUGCAGGAAAAGAGAGGGCAUGAGGGAGCCAGAUGGCUGAGUGACCCCAGUGCUGUUCCCAGAAGAAGCAGGAGCAGGCAAGGAAAAAUCUGGUGGCUGGAAGGAAAAGUGAGCCCUAGGCAGGUCCCUCCAUGCUCUGGGUCUCUACUGUUCCCUCUCCCACCAGCCCCCUUUUCUCCUCUGAGCCAGCUUCUCAUCAUACCAGACUGCCCAACUCCCACUCCCCCACCAUCUCAUCCACCACAGCUGCAAUUUUCCAACUCCGGUAAGAAACAGAAGUAUCAGCAUAGCAUAUGCAUGUGCUUGCUGAGGGACGGGAGCAGAAACCUUCCCACCUCUUAGUAGUGUCUCCAGCUGCUGCCUUGCUCUGCCUUCCCAAUCUGCCACAUUCUUUAUGUCCCACGUGGCUGCUUUGGCACAGCUCAAGUGAGUGUGGGGAGCAGCAGUGGCCUGUGGUGGCCAUGGUGACUCAUACUGGCUCUCCAGCCAAGACAGACAGGGGAUACCCCAUAAGCAGAUGCUGGUGACCCCAGCAUGUGAGUGCUACUCUGGCCACCACCACUGCCAUGAAGCCUCUAUGUCUGUCUUACACACAGGUACUGUACAUGACUGAUGUAAUGCACAGGGUCUCAUGCAGUGAUGAGUUUUCCCACACAGGCACUCCCCUCCAUCUCUCUACUGAGCAGGAGGCCAGUUUCUAAUGUCUGCCCUUCACUUCAAAUCCUUGGUUUAUGAAACUGGAGGAAAACCCUGAGACAGCAGGUUGAGACUGUCACCAGGGAGAGAGUUAACUCAUUUCCACGGCUGGUAUUCUCCCCACCAGCCCACGCAGCAUCAGAGCAGCUCCGUAAGCCUCAGCAUAGACUCUUGGCCUGUUCUACAGGUGGUGGAAACUUGUAGUAUAUGGUGUAAAAUGCCUACAGGAAGGUGUUUGUGACAGGGCCAAUGGCUAGUGCAUAUACCUGCCCCAAGGCAGGUUCUGUUGUUGUUCCACCACUGCAGAAAUGAUGUAACACUGGUUUUAUUACAGUGCUGGAAUCCGGCAGUGUUUUGCACCUGGAAGGCUGCAUCUGACACCCACCUGUGAGGCAUCAGUCCAUGAAGACUGGGGCUCUGCUUUGGUUUUGCGGUCACUGCUGCUAAUGCGAGAAAACGGACAGGGCAAAAAACAGGAGAUAAAAGGCAGUCAAAGCACUGCUGAAAAAAUACCAGAUAGUUGUAACUCUUAGGACUAACCUUCGGUGUCAGAGGAGUCAAUGCCUCUAUUUUGAAAGGAUGAGCCAUUUUGGGGUAUAACAGCAAUGCACUUCAUAAUCCCUUCCAUAUUUGGCUUUAUUGGCUUAUUGUGCAGAGCUAUUAGAAUCAGGAUCAUCUCUUAUGAAGCUGUUAAUGGGAUGCAAAUUGCAUGAAAGAUUUCUCCGCAUCAAUAGAAAACAACCUAGUAAUAAGUUAUUGCAUAAAAAUCUGCAUAAAAAUCUGCUACAAAAGAAAUACUUCUAAAGAAGCAAAAAAUCCUGCGUGACUGAGGAGGAAAUAUGCUUUACAAAGUGCAAAUGAGUACUGGUUUUAGAGGUAAAGGUGACCUACCUCAGAGCUGCUCAGAUCCCAAAGAACAGCUGUGCCCUAGCUACCCAUGUAUAGUGAAACAGUGCUUCACACAACAUCAUGGCUACAGCCAGGUAAAAAACAGUGUGAUGAAUGUUUUAAGCACUGAUAGAUGCAAGUUCAGGCUGACCAAACCUGCAUCUGUGCUGAAUUCAGCAAGGAGCUGUGGCCAAAAUAUGUACAUUUGAAUAAAAUGAAAAGUCUAAGCAGCUCUCUGUAUGUGAUGCACUCCUACUUUUCAUGCUGACACGAUGUUUUGAGACUAGAAUUGGACUUACAGUGAGCUAGAAACACCUAAAACCAGCAUUAAGUGCUGAUCAGUAAGUCAAGAGAAAUAUUGUGCUGAGUCUGUCACAUCGCUUUGCUGUUUGUUUUUCCUUUUUGGUGUUGACAUCAAUGUGACUGUGAUUUCAGCUGUGGUUUCCAGAGAGCACUGCAGCGUGCCUGCGGCUGGAAGGAGCCUUUUGCUGCCAUUCAGCCCAUGCCACCUAGCACAACCACGGGGCACUACUGCUUCUCCCACGUGGCGUACACCCCGCUCCCCGAGCAUCAGAGCCUCCAGCACAUCACACACCAUCACUCUCCCACAUUAUGCCACAGAAAUGCUCUUUGGUCUCCUGUUUAACGUCCAGCACCAAAGCAGUGGGAAAUACCAGACCACGCAGUACCCGGUGACCUGUCCCAGUAGAACUGAGCUGCCCUGGGUACACCUGCUCUGCAAAACCUAGAGGACAGAAGAGAAAAGCCACAUUUCUGGGAUUCCUUCUUCCACCCAAAUUCCCUACGUGCAACAGGAGCCAGGGGACUGCAGCCUGGGAUGCUGCUCUGUCUCAAGCCCAAGGGGCCAGGCUUUUCCUGAAAUAACAUCCACCUCUUGCUUUGCCGCCUGCUGGGCUCAGCUGAUGCACAUGGAGGAGCCUAAAUAAAGAAACACAGAGCUCAGAGCCCAGGCUUUUCCUCUCCGCUAUCUGCAUUCUUUUGCAUUCAUUAAAAAACAAACAAACCUGUUUCCUGAUAGCAGGGAGGAAAAUCACAGGGCCGCGUUUUGUUUUUCUUUCACUUGCAAUGGCUCAGAUAUUCGAGGGAGAAGCACCUCUAUGGGAUCUACGCAUGGAGAUGAGAGUGGCUGGUAACAGACAUCAGAACAAGCAACAAAUGUCUCCAUCCCUCAGGGAUGGGAGGAGGGAGAGGGAUGGGAAAAAGCAAAAAAGCGUGGGCAUUGCUCUAUCAACCAGAUGCCAGAGGGGGAACUGGCCUAUUCCCAGUCUUGCUCAGAGAUCUGCCAGGGGUGGCAUCGAUCGGAAGGGUGGAGGAACGCGGCCUCGUAUUUUUGCAGCGAGGAUUGGCUCUCUGAAGGAGAGCUAAAAGAAACAGCAGCUUCCCAACGAGCACAGAAAUUGAGAGAAAACGUUAGAAAACGUCUCCAGAUUACAGGGGUAUAAAGAUAGCCCUGGAAGCGGCCGCGCUCCUUGGCGCAGAGUCGCCAGUGCCGGGAAGUGCCUCACAUCCUGUUCUUUGUAUUGUUCUCCCAACUUGUCUGGUGGCUGGGAAAGUUUCUUCCAGCAAUUUACCCCGUCCUCACCCUGCAGCUGGCGGCCUGCUGCUAUUGAUUCACUUCCCCAGGCAUUUCUCUUACUGUCAUGCUCUUGUGGCACCAAAGCACUCAGUGCCCAGCGCUGCUCCAUUAUAUAUAAGGCUGCUUUCUCUGCCUCUCAGCACAAAAUCAAACUCACAGCACAAAGAGCCGUGGGUUUAGAUAUAUAAUUGGAUCAAAUUGUGUGUAAUGACCUUGUCUGGUCUAUUGUGCCUUUGUUUUCCAUUGCAGCUUGCACCAGAGCAGGUACCAUGUUUACAUUGCAGUCAGGGUGACCUGACUCCCAGCCAUCCUGGAUUCAUUCUUUGGCUAAUGGAAAGAGUUUCUUUGCUCUGGAAAGAGUGGGUCCUUUGGACAGGGCUGAUGUUCAGCCUCAGCUUGGCCAUGCCAGCAUUGAACAACUCUUCUGGCUGCAUGCUCUGUGCUCAGCCCCACAAAACAAGGCUGCAGAGAGCUGUGGAUGAUUGCUCAUGUAUUGAGAUGAGUACGGGUGAUGGGUUGGUGGGCCGGCAGGUUCACAGAGUGGUAUGCAAGCACAGAGCUUGAACCCCAAGGUUACAAUUAAAUCUCACCUGAGGCUGGCUGCAUAAGUAAAGCAAGUCAUGUUUAACUGCAGGAAAGAACAUCAUGUAACAGAAAUCUAAUUGUGUUGAACAGUACCCAAUAUAAAGGUUAUGGCUUAUGGAUUAACAGCAGGAACUUACGCUAUGAACUGGGAACUCGUCUGGAACCAGCAGAAGAGGAAAAGAGCACACUGGUGAUUAAUGAUUUGGGGUGCCCAUGGGAUGCAGUUACGGCAAUACAAGCAUGCUCCCAGGAUGCACUGGAAAGUACGUCCAGCAGAAAAUACCAAAGCCAUAGCAUGGAUCACUGGCACGUAGUGGAACUGGCCCGUGUGAUGUGACAGACAUCUCCAGGAAGCAGCCUCAGGGAUGUUCACAUGCACAGGAACAUGCUGGGACACUGAGGGCCGUGGGUGGCCUCCCAGCGGGCCAGCAACACAUCACCCUUUUGUCAUCAUGUAACGAAGAGAGCUACCUGAGCUGAAUCACAGUUUUCUGUGUGUCACAAGAGAAGCUGGACUUGCUCACAGCUGCGAUGCAAACGGGUUCUCUUGAGCAGAGAAGUUCUGAUGCAGCCCAACAGUCAGAGCGCAGGUACAAAAUCCAUAGCAAGCUUCAUGACAGUCAGGUCAGGCCAGGACAAGAGCACUGUGAGGCAGUGUGUGGUGGGAGAAGCCAUCCUCCUCCUGUGAGACUAGGGAAAAAAAACAGAACCUGAAUGGAAAAUGUGCAUAGCCAUUUGAGCCAGUGAAGAAAAUUUCCCUGCUAAUGUGCCACGGGAACUCUUCAAGCACUAGAAGUAGCCAGCCUUUGAUCUCAUGCCUUUAAUGCACUCCCUAAAAGACACAAUGGCUCCAAAUCCUAUCUUGCAUUAUUGCUUGCUUGGCUUAAAGGCAUGCCGCACUGCCAAGGGCAUCUCCUGAUGGCUACAAGCGAAAAGGAAGAGUGAAAGAAAACAAAUGAUUCCAUGGCAAAGUCCAUCAGGCUCUGUGGUGGGCAGGCAGGGUGCAGGUAGAGCGCAGAGGUGACCUUGUGUGGCACAUUUAAAAACACCAGAUGCCACCACACAUCCCACUGUGCCGGCUUCACGCUCCCUUCUUUGUCACAACCCGACACAUCCCCUACAGCACGAUAGAAACUGUAAGUAAUUUAAAAGCACAACUAAUUACCUCAGAGAGCUGUUUAAGUACCCAAACCUACAGCAGCCGCAGGACACUUCCCAACGCUACAGGCAUCCAGAAGUGUAAUUCAGAGCAAACCGUCUCACUGGAGGAGGCCCGUGAGUGCACGGCGCCAAGGGAACCCGCACAUUUAGGAUUUGCAAGGAGCCUGCAUCUACAAAGAGCAGAAAGCCAGUUGCUUCCUCAGCCUCCUGAUAACCCAAGGAAGAAGCCACAUCUGCGCAGCUUUUUUUAAGUGUCUCGAGUGCUCCAUUUUGCAGGAGCUGGGAGGCAGCAGGGAGAGGCGGGAGCCGGGGGCCGUGAGAGAGGCAUGGCGGCCAGCACAGCCUGCAGUGCCUCCUGCCAGCAGCCCCUGCAUGGGGAGGUCAGCGCCAGCAGUCCCCACAAUCAGAGUCUUGUGUCAGACGUGUGAGAAAACUCUCCCUUUCCUGUCGCACGCUGCCGCCACCACAGCUGCGGGCCCCCUCGGACCUGAAUAAACAGAGCCGCGCUGCUGCCAAGGAGCAUCCAGAUGUGCGCGGGGUGACUCAGGAUUUACUGGCACUUCAUAUGUGAGAUCAGAUUGGGGCCAGGACAGUGCUGUUUGGUAAAUUAGCUUUUUACAACCUAAUUUCCUUACUUUAGCUCUUUUUUUCCCCCAGCAUCUUGAAAGGAAAGAAAAAAAGUGAUCCAAGAUGCCAGCGUCUCAGACCAUUUUAAAGGGCCUCUGUGAGGUGUCUGCUCUCUCAGUCGCCUUCCUCACUGCAAAACUUCCCCAGCACUGUGAUUUAAUACACACACCACAACAAGCUGGCAGUUAUACCGGUAUUCAUGCAAGGUGACUGCGAAGAUGCUGCCCUGCAAGCAGAAUAAGGUCCUCUUUAGCAAAGAGGUCUGUGUGCAAGCUCGGAGACGAGCAGUAACGAUGCGGCUUUUCCAGGGGACUGCGGAAAUCACAGCACAGCUGGGCUGUGAGCUGUGCUCCUCUGCCAGUGAGAGCCCUCCAGGACCCACAGCGGGACUGGCAGUAUUCACAUGUACCGAGAGGCCCUGGCUAAGCUAUGGAAGGCAGCUUCAGGAGAGCACCGGAGUGUGGCUUUUUGACCGAAGGCACAUUGCAUCUGUCUGGUUUACUGGUCUUCUGAUGAAGACCUAGCUUGGAGGGUUGUGGGAUUCUCCCAUGAAGUGAGAUUUUUAUAGCACAGCCAUAUUUUGCAACAAGCCUCCAGCCUGCCUAGGAUGCCCCUGUCAAGUUCCAUUUUUCAGGCUCUUUGUGCAGAAAUGAUACUUAAUGGAGGAGCCUCGCUGGUGUGUGCUCAGGCAAGGGGGGAAGAAGACGCAACAUGCAAUCCAUAAAUAGAGACACUUUAGAGGCUCUUUAAACAUUCACGCUUUUUGCAUAAUUGAUGACUUUCCAUAAUAGAUAUGGAUGAUAAACAGCCUUAAAUAAAAUGAAAAUUUAUCAGUGUC
ensembl:lncRNA